UCAAGUCGUGGCUUGUAAACCUCGCAGAAGACCACGAUCCCUAUCUCUGAUGAGAUAAUUCCCCAGUUCAUCCAGUUCCUCCCACCUCCCUUAACUCUCCUCUUUCUUCGAUUACGGUUGCUAUAAAAACAAAUGAUGCUUUGAAACCGUAUACACAGAAAAGACAAUAUUUCAAAUUUGGAAGAAGGAAAUCCAUCAAUGUCUUCAUUCUCUGCAAGACAUCAUCGAUUUUAUCUGCACAAGCUGGUCUUCUUGGAUUUCACUCAUUCUUUUAAGUGGUUGUGGUUGCUGCUACUUUGUUGCUGUACAUUCAAGUACGAAUGGUGGAGCGGGUGGAAAUAUUUUCAGGGUUCUUGAAAGUCAUACAGGGGGUGGAGAGUUGGGAGAGGCGACAAAGAGGAAUAGGAAGCUGCACAUCAGAUUUUUCUGCUGCUACAGGGAAGAAGAUCCUAAAGAACAUAAAACCGUAUAAAACUGCCGUUUUAAGGGUCGCAUAUUUAACAACUUGUAACGGCCAGUUUCUAACGAUUACCUUCAGUUUGUAACAAUUAUUGUAACGGUGAUCUCUGUAACGCCUUUUCAGUGUUGCGAAUUGCCUGAGUUAGAUUUUCCUCUUUGUAAACACCUAUUGAGCAAUAAAAAAUUUCUUUGAGUGUGUUUUCA